AAAGGAUCAGAAUGAAGCCUACUCGAUAGACGCAGAGAACUAUGAGUCCUCCAGUGGAAGAAUAGAAGUAAAACACAGCUGGACAGCUCUGUGCUGAAGGCUGGCCUACGCCAUCUCACUUAACCUUUACCUCCAUGUCCCUGCGCUGUUACAUCCCGGCCGUCACUGUCAUCGUCCUCAUACAAAUGAGGGAAGCAGAGCCAGCAGCUUGUAAGUGAUAGGAAGUCGUUCCUCAGCCUUCUGGAGGUCACAAAGCUCAAGAUCAAGUGUGAAGAGGUUCUCUGGGAGCUAUGGGGUGUGGAGUUUUCAGACAUUCCAGCCCAUCCAGGUGGACCGUGAUGAUUUAACUUCAAAGCAAGAGUGUAGUUGGUGCCCACUGCACUAAGCAGAUAUGGUGGAUCUGAACCAUUGCCUUCCCUCAGCAUGCAGACUGACCCGGAAAGAAUCUUGUAUUCAUUAGGAUUGCCAGGUCUCCAGCUAAAACUCUGAUGAAGGACUAUGGACGACUUCGGAAAUUAUUCGUCAUCUAGUGCUAAAGUUUCCUAUAGCACAGUUGCAGAAAGUAGCUUCAGUGUGACCCGAGCUUUAUUUAAACAACACGUAUACCUCCAGGUAAAAUAUGAGUGAAAAAGUCUAAAGAGAACUCCUCGUUUUUGUUUUUGUUUUUUUUUUAGGAAAUAAAUAAGCACUUUUCUGAGCAGCCAACA
rnacentral:lncRNA from 1 species